UCGGCAACGGAUAUCUCGGCUCUCGCAUCGAUGAAGAACGUAGCGAAAUGCGAUACUUGGUGUGAAUUGCAGAAUCCGUGAACCAUCGAGUCUUUGAACGCAAGUUGCGCCCGAAACCAAUAGGUUGAAGGCACGUCUGCCUGGGCGUCAC
rnacentral:rRNA from 1 species